CAAUAUCCUUCUGAAGAUACGGUCUCCAGUACUGUGUACAAUACUCCAAGUGAGGUCUCACCAGUGUUCUGUACAAUGGCAUGAGCACUUCCCUCUUUCUACUGCUAAUACCUCUCCUAUACAACCAAGCAUUCUGCUAGUAUUUCCUGCUGCUCUAUUACAUUGUCUGCCUACCUUUAAGUCAUCAGAAAUAAUCACCCCUAAAUCCCUUUCCUCAGAUGUGGAGGUUAGGACUCUAUCAAAUAUUCUGUACUCUGCCCUUGGGUUUUUACGUCCAAGAUGCAUUAUCUUGCACUUAUCCAC